UACGUAGGGUGCGAGCGUUGUCCGGAAUUACUGGGCGUAAAGAGCUCGUAGGUGGUUUGUCGCGUUGUUCGUGAAAACCGGGGGCUUAACCCUCGGCGUGCGGGCGAUACGGGCAGACUUGAGUACUGCAGGGGAGACUGGAAUUCCUGGUGUAGCGGUGGAAUGCGCAGAUAUCAGGAGGAACACCGGUGGCGAAGGCGGGUUGCUGGGCUGAUACUGACGCUGAGGCGCGAAAGCCAGGGGAGCGAACGGG
rnacentral:rRNA from 1 species